rnacentral:rRNA from 1 species
UACGUAGGUGGCGAGCGUUGUCCGGAUUUACUGGGCGUAAAGGGCGUGCAGGCGGUUUGUUAAGUGCAGGGUGAAAGCUCCCGGCUCAACUGGGAGAGGUCCUUGCACACUGGCGAACUCGAGGGAGGCAGAGGAAAGUGGAAUUCCCGGUGUAGUGGUGAUAUGCGUAGAUAUCGGGAGGAACACCUGUGGCGAAGGCGGCUUUCUGGGCCUUACCUGACGCUGAGACGCGAAAGCGUGGGGAGCGAACCGG